rnacentral:rRNA from 1 species
UACGUAGGUGGCAAGCGAUACUCGGAAUCACUAGGCGUAAAGCGCAGGUAGGCGGUUUGAUAAGUCUGUUGUGAAAGCUCCCGGCUUAACUGGGAGAGGUCAACGGAAACUAUCAGGCUAGAGUGUGGUAGAGGUAGCUGGAAUUCCCGGUGUAGCGGUGAAAUGCGUAGAUAUCGGGAGGAAUACCUAUGGCGAAAGCAGGCUACUGGACCAUCACUGACGCUGAUCUGCGAAAGCUAGGGGAGAAAACAGG